AUGUCUCUCUUCCGCAAGUUCUUCUACCGCAAGCCCCCGGACGGGCUGCUCGAGAUCACCGAGCGCGUCUACGUGUUCGAUUCGUGCUUCUCCACCGAUGUCUUCGACGACGACAAGUACGGGCAGUACAUCGGAGACAUCGUCCUGCACCUCCGGAGCCACUUCGCGGACGCCUCCUUCAUGGUCUUCAACUUCCGGGAGGAGGAACGGGAGAGCCAGCAGAGCCUGCUGGCCAGCAUCCUCUCCAUCUACGACAUGGUGGUCAUGGACUACCCGAGGCAGUACGAGGGCUGCCCGCUCCUCACCAUGGAGAUGGUCCACCAUUUCCUCAGGUCCGGGGAGAGCUGGCUCUCCCUGGGACAGCACAACGUCCUCAUAAUGCACUGCGAGCGAGGCGGCUGGAACGUGCUCGCCUUCAUGCUGGCGGGCCUGCUGCUGUACCGGAAGCAGUUCAUCGGCGAGCAGAGGACGCUGGAGAUGGUGUACAGGCAGGCCCCUCGCGAGCUCAUCCAGCUGCUCUCGCCGCUAAACCCCAUGCCGUCGCAGAUAAGAUACCUGCAUUACAUAUCCCGGAGGAACGUGAGCGCAGAAUGGCCACCAGGUGAUCGACCUCUUACCUUAGACUGCGUGAUACUAAGGAAUACCCCGGGCUGUAAUGGGGAGGAUGGAUGUAGACCGAUAUUCCGUAUCUAUGGGCAGGAUCCUCUACUUGGUACAGAUAACAAUCCCAAGGUGCUUUUUUCAACACCAAAGAGGAGUAAAUAUGUUCGGCAUUACAAGCGGGCAGACUGUCAAUUGAUUAAGAUCGAUAUCCACUGCCAUAUUCAAGGAGAUGUUGUCCUUGAAUGCAUCAGUUUGGAUGCUGAUCAAGAACGAGAAGAGAUGAUGUUCAGAGUCAUGUUCAACACAGCAUUUAUCAGGUCAAACAUUCUCAUGCUAAACCGUGAUGAAAUUGACAUAAUGUGGGAUGCAAAAGAUCGAUUCCCAAAGGAAUUCAGAGCCGAGAUUCUUUUUUCAGAAAUGGACACUGCAGAUCAUUUAGAUCCCAUGGAGAUGGCAGGUAUAGGGGAGAAGGAGGGCUUACCAAUUGAAGCAUUUGCAAAGGUGCAAGAGAUGUUCAGCAUAGUCGACUGGUUAGAUCCGAAAGGGGAUGCUGCAGUCCAGUUUUUCCAGCGGCUAACCACAUAUGAAACCAUACAGCUGAGGCAGGGAUUGGUGUCUCCAAGCAAGAAAGAUUCGAGCAUUAGAAAAGAAAUAGGGCAUUUGGAGCUUGGUUCACCGACCAAAAAUAUACAGCUGAGGCAGGGAUUGCUGUCUCCAAGCAAGAAAGAUUCGAGCAUAAGAAAGGAAAUAGGGCAAUUGGAGAUUGGUUCACCGACCAAAAAUGAAUCUGACAAUGUUCGAAACAAAUCAAGCAAUGCUGAAAACUCAACAGUCUAUAUGAACAAAAAGGAAUGUGAUGGCAUACACAAAUUAGCCACGUUGGACCCAGCCAGUAUUUAUCAAGGAAAAUUAGGAACCGUUGUUCCUGAAAACAUAAACCCUCAAGUUCAUAAGGAAAUAACACAUGUAGUUGACAUCACUACCGAACGAUCGUCUUCACUGGAAAAACCUGAUGAGCAAUCUAGUCCAGUACAGUGCUCUUCGCCCUCUAUGAUUAUGUCACAGCGGUUUCCACUUUCUAGGUCAAGUUCUGCCUUUCCUAGCAACUCACCUCCAAGAUCACUUUCAGCAUGCCCAAGAUUUUAUAGCGUACCUUCAGCCCUUGGAAUUACAGCUUUGUUGGAAGAUCAUGCUACAUUUGGAGGUUCUGAGAAUUGUGGUUCAACCAUAAUUGCACCUACGAUGUCAAGCGCCACAGUCAAAGUUCCAUCAAAACCAUCAUCAGGACAGCAUCCAACAACAGGGACUCCGGUUGUAACAAAGGGUAUGCUGCCGCCGUCGCCAUCACCACCCCCACCCCCUCAGUCAUCAGGUCCGGUGUUGUUCGUAGCGUCUGAUGCUUUUAUGCUGUCCGAGGCAGAAGAUGACUUAUCUCAGUCGUCUCCGAAGCAUUCAGGUCCUUCAUUGUUGCCCCACCCAUUUCCUCCACAUGAAGAAUCCACAUCGCAGUUACCUGGAACUACUACUCUGCCUGCAAAUCAUCAGCAGUCCUCAAGUAACAAUGCACAAGAAUCAUCACCAACUUUUACUGCUCUUGCCACUACCUCUACUUCAUUCAGACCUCCUUCACCACCUCCACCUCCAGCUUCUCCUGUUAGAAUAGUUGGACCUCCUUUGUCUGCACCUAAGUCCUCCCUCAGUAGACCUCCUGCACCCCCUCCACCUCCACCACUCGCUUCUACUUCAUCUCCUGUUAGACCUCCUGCACCACCUCCACCUCCAGCACUUGCUUCUACUUCAUCUCCUGUUCCACCUCCUGCACCACCCCCACCUCCAGCACUUGCUUCUACUUCAUCAGCUGUUCGACCUCCUGCACCACCUCCACCCCCACCAGUUGCUUCUACUUCAUCGGCUGUUCAACCUGCUGCACCACCUCCACCUCCAACUCACCCACUUGCUUCUACUUCAUCUCCUAUUCCGCCUGCUGCACCACCUCCACCACCUUCUCCAACAUCAUCUGCCAUUAGAUCUUCAGCACCGCUCCCGCCUCCACCUCCAGGAAUUACUUCUACACCACCACCACCCUAUAAUUCAUCAAAACAAUCUCCUCCUGCUCCACCACCACCUCACGCUCCAAGGUUCUCAAAGGAUGCCAACCAUCCUGGUGCUUCUGGCAAUGUUGUACCUCCACCAGCACCUCCUGGUACGAAGGGGCGUGGACCUGCACCUCCUUCGGGCCCAAUGUCUAAGAGUCUUCAAUCUGGUCAGACUAUGUCCAGAAAGUCCAAUCUGAAACCACUACACUGGGUGAAAGUUACAAGAGCGAUGAAGGGCAGUCUCUGGGCAGAGGGGCAAAAAGCUGAUGAAGCUUCAAAAGCCCCAGUGUUUGACAUGUCAGAACUAGAAAAUCUUUUCUCAACUGCUCUACCAAAUUCAGAUUCUAGGCGUUCAGAUAACUCAGGGAGUCGUGCAUCUGGGGCAAAACCAGAGAAAAUUCAUCUUAUUGAUCUUCGUCGGGCUAACAAUUGUGGAAUCAUGCUUACGAAAGUCAAAAUGCCGCUUCCGGACCUAAUGAGUGCUAUUCUUGCUCUGGAUGAUACUGUCCUAGACGCUGAUCAGGUGGAGAACCUAAUUAAGUUCACUCCAACUAAAGAGGAAAUAGAACUUCUGAAGGGUUACAAAGGAGAUAAGCAAGAUCUUGGUGAAUGCGAACAGUUCUUCAUGGAGCUUAUGAAAUUACCCCGUGUGGACUCUAAGCUGAGAGUUUUCUUAUUCAAGAUUCAGUUUCGAUCUCAAGUGUCUGACCUUAAGCGGAAUCUGAACAUUGUUAACUCAUCUGCUGAAGAGAUAAGGGGUUCAGUGAAGUUGAAAAGGAUUAUGCAGACGAUUCUUUCUUUGGGAAAUGCGUUGAACCAAGGCACUGCUAGAGGUUCUGCUGUUGGAUUCAGGUUGGAUAGCUUACUCAAAUUAAGCGAUACCCGUGCACGGAAUAAUAAGAUGACCUUAAUGCAUUAUUUAUCCAAGGUGCUUUCUGAGAAACUUCCAGAACUUCUUGACUUUCCUAAAGAUUUGGCUAGCUUGGAGUUGGCAGCAAAGAUACAAUUAAAGUCUUUAGCAGAAGAAAUGCAGGCCAUAAACAAAGGGCUCGAGAAAGUGGAGCAAGAAUUAACUAUAUCUGAAAAUGAUGGUCCUGUGUCGGAGAUCUUUUGCAAGACACUGAAGGGCUUCCUUAGUGGUGCUGAAGCCGAAGUUAGAGCCUUGACUUCACUUUAUUCUAAUGUGGGCAGGAAUGCAGAUGCAUUAGCACUUUAUUUUGGAGAAGAUCCAGCACGUUGUCCAUUUGAGCAAGUGGCCACAACGCUCCACAACUUUGUGAAAUUGUUCAUGCGUUCGCAUGAAGAGAACUGCAAGCAGUUGGACCUUGAAAAGAAGAAGACUCAGAAGGAAGCAGAACCAGAUAAGCCUAAGGGGGAAUCGGAAAAUGAGAAAGAUAAUCUCAGUCAUCCAAUCAAAGAGCUAGACAUCUCACUUCAAUCACAACCACAAACUGCCAGUGCCAAAUGA
rnacentral:rRNA from 1 species